UUGUUGGGUAGGGGAGCGUUCUGUAAGCCUGUGAAGGUGGCCUGUGAGGGUUGCUGGAGGUAUCAGAAGUGCGAAUGCUGACAUAAGUAACGAUAAAGCGGGUGAAAAGCCCGCUCGCCGGAAGACCAAGGGUUCCUGUCCAACGUUAAUCGGGGCAGGGUGAGUCGACCCCUAAGGCGAGGCCGAAAGGCGUAGUCGAUGGGAAACAGGUUAAUAUUCCUGUACUUGGUGUUACUGCGAAGGGGGGACGGAGAAGGCUAUGUUGGCCGGGCGACGGUUGUCCCGGUUUAAGCGUGUAGGCUGGUUUUCCAGGCAAAUCCGGAAAACCAAGGCUGAGGCGUGAUGACGAGGCACUACGGUGCUGAAGCGACAAAUGCCCUGCUUCCAGGAAAAGCCUCUAAGCAUCAGGUAACAUCAAAUCGUACCCCAAACCGACACAGGUGGUCAGGUAGAGAAUACCAAGGCGCUUGAGAGAACUCGGGUGAAGGAACUAGGCAAAAUGGUGCCGUAACUUCGGGAGAAGGCACGCUGAUAUGUAGGUGAAGCGACUUGCUCGUGGAGCUGAAAUCAGUCGAAGAUACCAGCUGGCUGCAACUGUUUAUUAAAAACACAGCACUGUGCAAACACGAAAGUGGACGUAUACGGUGUGACGCCUGCCCGGUGCCGGAAGGUUAAUUGAUGGGGUUAGCGGCAACGCGAAGCUCUUGAUCGAAGCCCCGGUAAACGGCGGCCGUAACUAUAACGGUCCUAAGGUAGCGAAAUUCCUUGUCGGGUAAGUUCCGACCUGCACGAAUGGCGUAAUGAUGGCCAGGCUGUCUCCACCCGAGACUCAGUGAAAUUGAACUCGCUGUGAAGAUGCAGUGUACCCGCGGCAAGACGGAAAGACCCCGUGAACCUUUACUAUAGCUUGACACUGAACAUUGAGCCUUGAUGUGUAGGAUAGGUGGGAGGCUUUGAAGUGUGGACGCCAGUCUGCAUGGAGCCGACCUUGAAAUACCACCCUUUAAUGUUUGAUGUUCUAACGUUGGCCCGUAAUCCGGGUUGCGGACAGUGUCUGGUGGGUAGUUUGACUGGGGCGGUCUCCUCCUAAAGAGUAACGGAGGAGCACGAAGGUUGGCUAAUCCUGGUCGGACAUCAGGAGGUUAGUGCAAUGGCAUAAGCCAGCUUGACUGCGAGCGUGACGGCGCGAGCAGGUGCGAAAGCAGGUCAUAGUGAUCCGGUGGUUCUGAAUGGAAGGGCCAUCGCUCAACGGAUAAAAGGUACUCCGGGGAUAACAGGCUGAUACCGCCCAAGAGUUCAUAUCGACGGCGGUGUUUGGCACCUCGAUGUCGGCUCAUCACAUCCUGGGGCUGAAGUAGGUCCCAAGGGUAUGGCUGUUCGCCAUUUAAAGUGGUACGCGAGCUGGGUUUAGAACGUCGUGAGACAGUUCGGUCCCUAUCUGCCGUGGGCGCUGGAGAACUGAGGGGGGCUGCUCCUAGUACGAGAGGACCGGAGUGGACGCAUCACUGGUGUUCGGGUUGUCAUGCCAAUGGCACUGCCCGGUAGCUAAAUGCGGAAGAGAUAAGUGCUGAAAGCAUCUAAGCACGAAACUUGCCCCGAGAUGAGUUCU
rnacentral:rRNA from 1 species